GUGCAGCUCUCCUCUGGCAUG
rnacentral:miRNA from 1 species